CCUGCCACUAUACCUGACUCUUGUAUCUGGUAUAUUCCAGUGGUGCGCUAAGAUUAAAUUCCUGUCUAGGAAGCAAGGUAGUUCUGUGCAUGAAUUACUUUGUGCCGAAAGGCAGGAGACAAGU